rnacentral:rRNA from 1 species
GACGAACGCUGGCGGCGUGCUUAACACAUGCAAGUCGAACGGAAAGGCCCUGCUUUUGUGGGGUGCUCGAGUGGCGAACGGGUGAGUAACACGUGAGUAACCUGCCCUUGACUUUGGGAUAACUUCAGGAAACUGGGGCUAAUACCGGAUAGGAGUUCCUGCUGCAUGGUGGGGGUUGGAAAGUUUCGGCGGUUGGGGAUGGACCCGCGGCUUAUCAGCUUGUUGGUGGGGUAGUGGCUUACCAAGGCUUUGACGGGUAGCCGGCCUGAGAGGGUGACCGGCCACAUGGGGAUGGAGAUACGGCCAGGACUCCUCCGGGAGGCAGCAGUGGGGAAUAUUGCACAAGGGGCGGAAGCCGGAGGCAGCAACGCCGCGUGGGGGAUGACGGCCUUCGGGUGGUAAACCGCUUUCGCCGGUGACGAAGCGUGAGUGACGGUAAUGGGUAAAGAAGCACCGGCUAACUACGUG